rnacentral:lncRNA from 1 species
AUGUGUUUCUCCACCACGUCCUGGGCGACCCACGGAAGCCGGGCCUCUCCUUUCUCCUGGAACCUGGUGCCCGGUAACCAUGGCAGCAGGAAGCCUGAGCCCUGCCUGCCACGGACAGAAAGCCCACUGGUCUUUGGUCUUUGGCAGAGGCAGGCAGGGUUAGGCCACUGUUGUUUUUUCUCAUUAGGCACAGUGACAUUCGCUCCCUCCUGGAACUGUCCUUCUCUGGCCUCUGCGAAGCAGCAAUCAUAUAAUAACGGUGCCCACGGCCGCAGGGACCCUGCCUGCUGGGAGCACAGAGCGGGUCCGACCGUGGCCCCUGCGUCCCUGUCUGAGAUGGGGGUGCGGCUCCCUGCCCGCCCCGCUCCUCCCUCCACCGAGCUUCGGGAUCGGGGUCCUCGCGGACUAAGGAGCCUCGGAAUCCCUCCCCCGCCCACCCCAUCCUUCUCCCUUCCCAGGCAGGAUUUGGCCUCUUGAAAUUCUGCACACUAAUAAAAUUGUAACUAAUUUACAUCCGAGAUGGGGAGUGCGCGGUGGCGUUGUCAUGGAGACCAUCUCCAGGGCCCUGCGGCCUCCGCCUCGCUGUGCAGCCAGAGAUCAAGAGACCGGCGCGGCGCUGCAGCUGAGGCCGGCCUCCGCCCCCGG